AGUGAACGCUGGCGGUAGGCCUAACACAUGCAAGUCGAACGGCAGCACAGUAAGAGCUUGCUCUUACGGGUGGCGAGUGGCGGACGGGUGAGGAAUACAUCGGAAUCUACUUUUUCGUGGGGGAUAACGUAGGGAAACUUACGCUAAUACCGCAUACGACCUACGGGUGAAAGCAGGGGUUCUUCGGACCUUGCGCGAUUGAAUGAGCCGAUGUCGGAUUAGCUAGUUGGCGGGGUAAAGGCCCACCAAGGCGACGAUCCGUAGCUGGUCUGAGAGGAUGAUCAGCCACACUGGAACUGAGACACGGUCCAGACUCCUACGGGAGGCAGCAGUGGGGAAUAUUGGACAAUGGGCACAAGCCUGAUCCAGCCAUACCGCGUGGGUGAAGAAGGCCUUCGGGUUGUAAAGCCCUUUUGUUGGGAAAGAAAAGCAGCAGGUUAAUACCCCGCUGUUCUGACGGUACCCAAAGAAUAAGCACCGGCUAACUUCGUG
rnacentral:rRNA from 1 species